CCUGCCGGAGGUCAUUGCUAUUGGAGUCCGAUUUAGCCAUGCUAGUUGCACGAGUUUAGACUCGUAGCAGAUAGCUCAGUAACACGUGGCCAAACUACCCUAUGGAUCCGAAUAACCUCGGGAAACUGAGGCUAAUGCGGAAUAGCGUUCAUCGCCUGGAGUGGCACGAACGCGAAACGUUACGGCGCCAUAGGAUGUGGCUGCGGCCGAUUAGGUAGACGGUGGGGUAACGGCCCACCGUGCCCAUAAUCGGUACGGGUUGUGAGAGCAAGAGCCCGGAGACGGUAUCUGAGACAAGAUACCGGGCCCUACGGGGCGCAGCAGGCGCGAAACCUUUACACUGCACGCGAGUGCGAUAAGGGGACUCCGAGUGCGAGGGCAUAUAGUCCUCGCUUUUCACGACCGUAAGGUGGUCGUAGAAUAAGUGCUGGGCAAGACCGGUGCCAGCCGCACGCGGUAAUACCGGCAGCACGAGUGAUGACCGCUAUUAUUGGGCCUAAAGCGUCCGUAGCUGGCCACGCAAGUCUAUCGGGAAAUCCGCGCGCUUAACGCGCGGGCGUCCGGUGGAAACUGCGUGGCUUGGGACCGGAAGACCAAGAGGGGUACGUCCGGGGUAGGAGUGAAAUCCCGUAAUCCUGGACGGACCACCGGUGGCGAAAGCGCCUCUGGAAGACGGAUCCGACGGUGAGGGACGAAAGCUCGGGUCACGAACCGGAUUAGAUACCCGGGUAGUCCGAGCUGUAAACAGAUGUCUGCUAGGUGUGGCACAGGCUACGAGCCUGUGCUGUGCCGUAGGGAAGCCGUGAAGCAGACCGCCUGGGAAGUACGUCCGCAAGGAUGAAACUUAAAGGAAUUGGCGGGGGAGCACUACAACCGGAGGAGCCUGCGGUUUAAUUGGACUCAACGCCGGACAUCUCACCAGCAUCGACAAUGUGCAGUGAACGUCAGGUUGAUGACCUUACUGGAGCCAUUGAGAGGAGC
rnacentral:rRNA from 1 species